UGGGGAAUAUUGCACAAUGGAGGGAACUCUUAUGCAGCGACGCCGCGUGAACGAAGAAGGCUCUCGAGUCGUAAAGUUCUUUUAUCUGGGAAGAUAAUCAUGGUACCAUAAGAAAAAGCCCCGGCUAACUACGUGCCAGCAGCCGCGGUAAUACGUAGGGGGCUAGCGUUGUCCGGAAUCACGGGGCGUAAAGGGUUCGCAGGCGGAAAUGCAAGUCAGGUGUAAAAGGCAGUAGCUUAACUACUGUAAGCAUUUGAAACUGCAUAUCUUGAGAAGAGUAGAGGUAAGUGGAAUUUUUAGUGUGGCGGUGAAAUGCGUAGAUAUUAAAAAGAAUACCGGUGGCGAAGGCGACUUACUGAGCUCAUUCUGACGCUGAGGAACGAAAGCGUGGGUAGCAAACAGG
rnacentral:rRNA from 1 species